rnacentral:pre_miRNA from 10 species
UUCUUGUUCACAACCAAACUCUACUUGUCCUUCUGAGUGUGAUUACGCCCAUGGAGUAGCUCAGGAAGCAAACAGGGUUACCCUGUGGAUAGGUCUGAAAA